UCGCCCCUACGUGGACAAGUACAAGGGCCGCAUCACCAACGCAGAGCAAAGGUAUGGAGUGGACCCAGCUGUCCUCGGUGGUAUCAUCUCUAGAGUCCAGGGGUGGGACAGGACUGGUCAAUGGCUCAGGGGACAAUGGAAAUGUCCAUGGGCUAAUGCAGGUAAUAUAAACAUUUGCGUGAGAAUGAAUGUGAGACUCUGGAUCAGGGGUUGAAAUAACAUCAUUACAAUCAGGAUUGUAUGCAGGUUGUAGAGACGUCAUUUGUACACCCAUUAUUGUAAUCUGGCUGUUGAAUUUCAAACAUUUUUUUAUAUUUUUUUUUACCCACUGUGCAACUGCUUCCCAGGAGGUCAUGUCUAGGUUUUUCUAGGUUGACAAGCGCUGCCACCGUCCACAGGGGGCAUGGGACAGUCAGGAGCAUAUCGGACAAGACGCACAGAUUGUGGCUCCUAUUCAGAUGUUGAGAAAAAAUAUCCUCACUGGACCAAAGAGCAGAAGCUGAAAGGGGCGUUGGCAGACUACAAUAUGGGGCCUGGCAGCAUCUCCUCAUAUGAGGAGGUGGACGCUAAAACCACUGGAGGGGACUAUUCAAAUCAAAUUCAUUUAUAGAGCCCUUCUUACAUCAGCUGAUAUCUCAAAGUGCUGUACAGAAACCCAGCCUAACAUCCCAAACAGCAAGCAAUGCAGGUGUAGAAGCACGGUGGCUAGGAAAAACUCCCUAGAAAGGCCAGAACAUAAGAAGAAACCUAGGUCAGCACCUCAGGAGUAAAUAUCAGUUGGCUCCUGCUGUCUCUAAGAGAGAGAGAGAGAGAGAGAGAGAGAGAGAGAGAGAGAGAGAGAGAGAGA